rnacentral:rRNA from 1 species
GUGCCAGCCGCCGCGGUAAUACGGGGGGAGCAAGCGUUGUUCGGAUUUACUGGGCGUAAAGGGCGCGUAGGCGGCCACCUCAAGUCAGUUGUGAAAGCUCUGGGCUUAACCCAGAAAGGUCAACUGAUACUGCGGGGCUAGAGUGCAGAAGGGGCAACUGGAAUUCUCGGUGUAGCGGUGAAAUGCGUAGAUAUCGAGAGGAACACCUGCGGCGAAGGCGGGUUGCUGGGCCGACACUGACGCUGAUGCGCGAAAGCCAGGGGAGCGAACGGGAUUAGAAACCCCUGUAGUCC